AUGCAUGUCUAAGUACAAGCCGAUUUAAGGCGAAACCGCGAAUGGCUCAUUAAAUCAGCUAUGAUUCAUUGGAUCUGUACCCACACUUACUUGGAUAACUGUGGUAAUUCUAGAGCUAAUACAUGCACCACGUCUCUGACCGCAAGGGAAGAGCGCUUUUAUUAGUUCAAAACCGGUCGGGCCUCGGUCCGUCACCCCACUGUGUUGAAUCUGAAUAACUUUUUGCUGAGCGCACGGUCUCCGCACCGGCGCCGCCUCUUUCAAGUGUCUGCCUUAUCAGCUUUCGAUUGUAGGUUAUACGCCUACAAUGGCUAUAACGGGUAACGGGGAAUCAGGGUUCGAUUCCGGAGAGGGAGCCUGAGAAACGGCUACCACAUCUAAGGAAGGCAGCAGGCACGCAAAUUACCCACUCCCGGCACGGGGAGGUAGUGACGAAAAAUAACGAUGCGAGACUCAUCCGAGGCCUCGCAAUCGGAAUGAGUACACUUUAAAUCCUUUAACGAGGAUCUAUUGGAGGGCAAGUCUGGUGCCAGCAGCCGCGGUAAUUCCAGCUCCAAUAGCGUAUAUUAAAGUUGUUGCGGUUAAAAAGCUCGUAGUUGGGAUUUCAGUUCUGGACUGACGGUUCACCGCCCGGUGCACACUGUCACGCUCCGAACAGCCACAACAGCCCGCUGGCUCGCACGGGGUGCUCUUUACCGAGUGUCCCG
rnacentral:rRNA from 1 species